AGGCCAAGGAAGUUUGAGGCA
rnacentral:ncRNA from 2 species